CUACGGGAGGCUCCAGUGAGGAAUAUUGCACAAUGGGGGGAACCCUGAUGCAGCAACGCCGCGUGGAGGAUGACGCAUUUCGGCGUGUAAACUCCUUUUAUAUGUCAAGAAAAUGACGGUAGCAUAUGAAUAAGCACCGGCUAACUCCGUGCCAGCAGCCGCGGUAAUACGGAGGGUGCAAGCGUUACUCGGAAUCACUGGGCGUAAAGGACGCGUAGGCGGGUUGGAAAGUCAGGUGUGAAAUCCUACAGCUUAACUGUAGAACUGCACUUGAAACUUCUAAUCUAGAGUAUGGGAGGGGGAGAUGGAAUUAGUGGUGUAGGGGUAACAUCCGUAGAUAUCACUAGGAAUACCUAAAGCGAAGGCGAUCUCCUGGAACAUUACUGACGCUAAGGCGUGAAAGCGUGGGGAGCAAACAGGAUUAGAUACCCCCGUAGUC
rnacentral:rRNA from 1 species